GAAAUGCGAUACGUAAUGUGAAUUGCAGGAUUCAGCGAAUCAUCAAAUUCUUGAACGCACAUUGCGCUUCACGGGACUUCUGCCCUGUGGAGCAUGUCUGUUUGAGUGUCAGUAACAUCCUCACACCCUCCCCUCUGGGGGAUUACGGGAGUGGACGAUGACGUUUGGCGGCCCUUUGAGACGCCAUCCGUUUAAGGACAGAGGAGUCACGGCCUCGCUGUAAGCCGCGACGUGGUGAAGUAAGUCUAUCAGAUUUCACUACACUACUCGUGCAGAGGGCGCGCUCUCCUUUGACAAGGGAAGCAGGCUUUCGGGCCAGCUUCGCACCCCAACAAUGACCUCAAAUCAGGCAAGACUACCCGCCGAAUUUAA
rnacentral:misc_RNA from 1 species